AUGGCGGCCGACGACGCCGACGACGCGCCGCCGACCAAGCCCCCUCCCCCGGACGCCGACGGCGCAGGCCAGGCCGGCGCCGAGGCCCUGGCGGCCUACCUGGGCGUCGCCUUCGCGCUCUUCCUCGCCUCGCUCCCGGCCGGCGCGCGCCACGUGGCCUCGCUGCAGUCGCGGGGCCGCAUCCUGGCCACGCGCCUCCUCGCCGCCGAGGACCAGCUGCGCCAGCUGCGGGCCCGCCGCCGCGAGGACGCCCGGGCCAACGCGCGCGCCGCCGAGAUCUUCGCGGGCCACCGCGCGUCCUGGGCCGAGGCCGAGCGCCGCCUGCUAGCCCGCGCCGCGGCCGCGGCCGACGAGGCCGCCUCCCUCCGCGCGCGCCUCGCCGACGCCGAGGCCCAGGCCGCCGCGCUCCGGGCCCGCGCCGACCGCCUCGAGCGCGACGCCGCCGACCGCGACGGGCUGCUCAACGCGCUCCUCGCCGCCACGGGCAACGGCGCCGGGCAGGACGAACCCGGUGCGCGGCAGCACCAGCGCGCGCCGGAUCCGGCCGAGGGCUACGGCGACACCGACGCGGAGGCCCUGGCCGCGGCCGCCGCGCUCUACGCCCAGCAGCGCCAGCAGCAGGACGGCUUCGGCGGCGGCGACGACUUCUACACCUCCUCCUCCUCGUCCUCCGCGGCGGCGGCGUCGGGAAUGCCGCCCUGGAUGGACUCGCGCUCCAAAGGGUGGCAGGACAUGAAGUAUGAAUCAGUUGAGUCAAUGUACAACACAAAGCUUGCUGUACCACGGAGAGAAUCACCUUGGAAGGUGGAUGUGGAAUCGUCAGGAGUUCCUGCAAAGCUCCGGCUGCUUGAGCAGGAGUUAAUUAAUCUGGAGAAGGUUGGAGAUGGAGAUCUAUCCAAGAUCCCGUUGGUGAUGAGGAAGCAAGUAAAGAGAUACCAAACUCUUGCUGGGAAGAUCGAUGAUCUUUGCAAACGGAUGCAAGCUAAUGACCCCUGCGAUUCAACACUCAACUCGGAGUUGAGAACACAGCGGCAAACAGAGUACUUGCUGGAAGCAUUCCACCUUCAGCACCGAGCAGCUGAAACAAGGCAGAAGCUGGGCACAGUGCAAGCAGAGACCGCGAAAAGCAGCUUCUGCGAUGAGCUGCCAGCAGAAGCCAAAGUGAGCACAAGAAGAGCACUAAGUGCAGUCAGGAACAAUUUCAAGGAAAUCCAGCGAAGCCUGGAGAUUUGGCUGGCGAGGAUCCUCGGAGACCUCGAGGGCAUGCUGGCGAGGGACGGGGCAUCCCGGAUAAGAGAGUACAUUCUGUCCCCCUACGCGUCUGCUGUUCGAUGA
rnacentral:rRNA from 1 species